UGAGCCCUCUUGGUUUUUGGUGGGUGCCCCUGAGGCUGUGAUAUUUGGAUCUUUUUGCUUUCCUGGUGCUGGUGUUUCUCGCCCCCUCUGCCUUCUUUCGGAAUCGAUUUCCUACUUGUUUUUCUUUUAAAAACUGCCUUCAUUGUUGCCUUAAUAUUAAUUCUGUUGAGUACGGUCACGCCUCAGCCAGAAUUCCUGUCAGAUCAGCUGUUGAGCCCCGGGAGCAAAAAUCACCCGAGAGUUGGCGUUCUCUGGUCUACUUCAGCAGUUUCUACUCUAAGCGAGUCCACAUUGGGCUGGCUAGAGAUUUAUUGCAUCCGUCCUUGGAAGAGGAAAAGAAAAAACAUAAAAAGAAACGCCUAGUGCAAAGUCCAAAUUCUUACUUUAUGGAUGUAAAAUGUCCAGGUUGCUACAAGAUCACCACGGUUUUCAGCCAUGCUCAGACAGUGGUUCUUUGUGUAGGUUGUUCAACAGUAUUGUGCCAGCCUACAGGGGGAAAGGCCAGACUCACAGAAGGGCACGGAUUGAAAAGUUUGACAAACAUGAAUAUAAGACCUAGAGAUCAGUAGUCAGAAAGACAUAAGGAGAUGAAAUGGAUCUGUUUUAGAGAGGUGCUUUCUUUCUACUUUAACCAACUCUGAGAUAUCCUUCUAUUUACUUGUAUACAGUAUUAAGUGAAGAAACACAUUUAGGGCUGAGAAUUAUAGAAAAGCCCUUCUACUUUGAUUUCAGUGGCACACUGGCAAUCUCUAGUACACAGGAUCUAUGGCUGUUGGAACAGAAUUCCCCAAUAUGUUAACAUUGCAGCCUCCAAAAUGGCUCCCAGUGAUCCCCACCUUCUGGUAUCCACUCCUUUGCGCAGGCCUCUCCCACAUCAAAUCAGGGUUGGUUUCUGUAACCAACACAAUCUGGCAUAAAUGAUGGCAUAUAACUUCCAAGGCUGAAUUACAAGAGACAUUGAGGUGUUUGUCUGAUCUUCAAUCCCCUGCUCUAAAGGGAAGCCAUAGCACAGACAAGCAGACCUAUGGAGAGGGCCACAUGGUUAGAAACUGAAACCUCUUGGCCAAAGCCAGUAAGUCACAAAGACCUCUUGCCUGUAGCCACAUGGGUGAAUCAUUUUGGAAUCAGAUUCUCCAGCCCCAGUUGAUCCUUCCCUCAGAUGCCUGAAGCCCCUGCUUACAUCUUGUCUGCAAACUCAUGAGAGACCUUGAGCUAGAAACACCCAGCAGAGCUGCCCCCAAAUUUCUGAAACACAGAAACUGUGAGACAAUAAGCUUUGGGGUAAUUUGUUAAUGCAGUAGUAGAUACCUAACACACAUUAUACUACAGGAAAAAGCUCAGACUUUUAUACUACAGACACAGAAGGCCAGAUAUGGUAUGAUUCCAUUUAUAUGAAACAUUCAUAACAGGCAAAUCCAAAGAGAUAGAAAGCAGUUUGCUGAUUACCAGGGGCUGGAGGAACAGAGGAAUGGAGAGCAAAUGCUAAUGAGUAUGAGGUUUCUUCUUGGAGUGAAAAUGAAUUGGAUAGUGGUAAUGGGUGCAUAAUCUCGUGAAUAUACUAAAAACCACUGAAUUGUACAUGUUAAAGAAUUUUAUGGCAUAUGGACUGUGAAUUAUAUCUGAAUUAUAUAUG